rnacentral:rRNA from 1 species
UCGAGAAUCAUUCGCAAUGGGGGAAACCCUGACGGUGCGACGCCGCGUGGAGGAUGAAGGCCUUAGGGUCGUAAACUCCUGUCACCAUAGAACAAGAUUCAUAGGUUAAUACCCUGGUGGAUUUGAUGGUAUAUGGAGAGGAAGGUCCGGCUAACUCUGUGCCAGCAGCCGCGGUAAUACAGAGGGACCAAGCGUUGUUCGGAUUUACUGGGCGUAAAGCGUGCGUAGGAGGCUGGGAAAGUCUGAUGUGAAAUGUCACCGCUCAACGGUGAAAGUGCAUUGGAAACUAUCCGGCUAGAGGAUCGGAGAGGAAAGCGGAAUUCCAGGUGUAGCGGUGAAAUGCGUAGAUAUCUGGAGGAACACCAACGGCGAAGGCAGCUUUCUGGACGACUCCUGACUCUGAGGCACGAAGGCCAGGGGAGCGAACGGGAUUAGAUACCCCCGUAGUCC